AUCCCUAACAACACACAACAUUCCAGGAAUGUACUACCAAAGUUCUAUCAAUAUUUGAAUGUCCUGGACAUUUAGGGAACAUUCGGUGAACAUCUGUUUAAAUUAUUCCUGGAAUGUUACCAUAAGACAUUCUGUGAACAUACUACCAAUGUUCCUAUAUUUUAAGUUGCGAAAUAAUAAUACAUACGUGUAAGAGAUACAACAUUACUUAUAACAUACCAGACAAACUAAGUGACAUUUUAGGCCUACAGUGCAAUAAUAUGUCAAAUUUAAAGAGUUUCCCAAGAUUAUAAACAUACAAAUGUAAUAAAAAUUAUUGUUCGCGAAUAUUCAAUUUGGAAUGCGAUUUUGUUAAUAAAAAAAAUACUUAUAACUUAUGCAAAACCCAAGAGAGGCAUUUAUAUUUAUUUCUUUUGCGUUCAUUUUCAAAUUCGCCGUGCAUAUAUUUUUGUGCAUGGCGCUUGAGAGGGCAUCACGUGACUAAAAACGACCAACCAACGACCUCGCUUCGGCCAUCUUGGCAUCUUCAUCUUGGCGACCUUGCCUUGCCGUGGAUUGUUUUUAGUUGUUUGUAUUAUUUGUGCUUUUUAAGAAUAUUUUUUUAAUUCGGAUACUUUUAUAAUAGCUUUAAUAGUAUUAUUAACAUAGUGCAUAAAAUGGUGUCCUGUUUUUAACGCAGUUGGAGUAGCAGAAACAAAUGUAGAUAAAAAAAUCUGCAGGAAUAACGUUUCAAUUAUGACAGAAGCUCAAAACAAAUGACUGUGAAUGAAAAGCCCUAUUAAAAGCUUUCCAGAAGAUCCUGCGAAGAAGACAUGAAGUAUAGAUCAGAUUUGUUAAUAGAGGAGUAUGUUCAAAACACUUUUUAGAAAAAGAUAUUGACAGAACUUCACUUUCAUCUGUUCGUUUGAGAGACUGUGCUGUUCCAAUAGCUUAUGUCACACAGAAUCAGCUGAGAGAAGUGGUCUACAAAAAAACAGAAAGGAAACGGAAUAUGUGGCUACGAAAAGCAAAAGAAAGGUUUACAAAGCAAAUGUGACACAUUUUUUUAUAAUAUUUAGGAAUGUCAGCAAAUUACAUUAAAAAAUGUAUGUAAAGAUUUUUUGCAAUAAAAAUGUUUAUAUUUAUCAAGGAUGUAUUAUUUGGUAUGGCCAUAUAUCGUCAGUGAUGUGACAGUACCUCCUAUCUGUUUUUUUCAAGAGAUUUGUAAGAUAGACUAAAAACUUGUUUCGGCCACCUCCUGUUUUCAUAUAUUUUUUGACUUGUUUUGCAGUAAAUUCAACUAUCUAUUUACUACAAAAAAAGUCAGAAU